CUACGGGUUGCUGCAGUCAAGAAUCUUCCUCAAUGGCCGAAAGGCUGAAGGAGCGACGCCGCGUGAUCGAAGAAGCCCCUCGGGGUGUAAAGAUCUUUUAUUAGGGACGAAUCAAUGACGGUACCUAAUGAAUAAGGGGCUGCUAACCUCGUGCCAGCAGCAGCGGUAAUACGAGGGCCCCAAGCAUUAUCCGGAUUUAUUGGGCGUAAAGAGUCCGUAGACUGUUUAUUACAUCUCCUGUUAAAUCUUCUGGCUCAACCAGAAGGCUGCAGGAGAGAUGGAUAGACUAGAGACUGGAAGAGGCAAAUGGAAUUGCUGGUGUAGGGGUUAAAUCCGUUAAUAUCAGCAGGAAGGCCGAAUGCGAAGGCAGUUUGCUAGGACAGUUCUGACGUUAAAGGACGAAAGCGUGGGGAGCGAAUGGGAUUAGAUACCCGCGUAGUC
rnacentral:rRNA from 1 species